ACGACCAUACCAAGCUGAAUAUACCGGUUCUCGUUAGAUCACCGAAGUCAAGCAUCAUUGGGCGCGGUCAGUACUUGGGUGGGUGACCACCUGGGAACACCGCGUGCCGUU
rnacentral:rRNA from 1 species